rnacentral:rRNA from 1 species
AUGGCUCAGAUUGAACGCUGGCGGCAGGCCUAACACAUGCAAGUCGAGCGGAUGACGGGAGCUUGCUCCUUGAUUCAGCGGCGGACGGGUGAGUAAUGCCUAGGAAUCUGCCUGGUAGUGGGGGACAACGUUUCGAAAGGAACGCUAAUACCGCAUACGUCCUACGGGAGAAAGCAGGGGACCUUCGGGCCUUGCGCUAUCAGAUGAGCCUAGGUCGGAUUAGCUAGUUGGUGGGGUAAUGGCUCACCAAGGCGACGAUCCGUAACUGGUCUGAGAGGAUGAUCAGUCACACUGGAACUGAGACACGGUCCAGACUCCUACGGGAGGCAGCAGUGGGGAAUAUUGGACAAUGGGCGAAAGCCUGAUCCAGCCAUGCCGCGUGUGUGAAGAAGGUCUUCGGAUUGUAAAGCACUUUAAGUUGGGAGGAAGGGCAGUAAGYUAAUACCUUGCUGUUUUGACGUUACCGACAGAAUAAGCACCGGCUAACUCUGUGCCAGCAGCCGCGGUAAUACAGAGGGUGCAAGCGUUAAUCGGAAUUACUGGGCGUAAAGCGCGCGUAGGUGGUUUGUUAAGUUGGAUGUGAAAGCCCCGGGCUCAACCUGGGAACUGCAUCCAAAACUGGCAAGCUAGAGUACGGUAGAGGGUGGUGGAAUUUCCUGUGUAGCGGUGAAAUGCGUAGAUAUAGGAAGGAACACCAGUGGCGAAGGC